rnacentral:rRNA from 1 species
GAUGAACGCUAGCGGCAGGCCUAACACAUGCAAGUCGAGGGGUAGCAGGAUUAAGCUUGCUUAAUUGCUGACGACCGGCGCACGGGUGCGUAACGCGUAUGCAACCUACCUUAUACCGGGGUAUAGCCCGGAGAAAUUCGGAUUAAUCCCCCAUAGUACUAAUGAAUCGCAUGGUUUAUUAGUUAAAGCAUUGCGGUAUAAGAUGGGCAUGCGUCCUAUUAGCUAGAUGGUGAGGUAACGGCUCACCAUGGCUACGAUAGGUAGGGGGCCUGAGAGGGUGGUCCCCCACACUGGUACUGAGACACGGACCAGACGCCUACGGGAGGCAGCAGUGAGGAAUAUUGGUCAAUGGGCGCAAGCCUGAACCAGCCAUGCCGCGUGCAGGAAGAAUGCCCUAUGGGUUGUAAACUGCUUUUAUUUGGGAAUAAACCUCUUUACGUGUAGAGAGCUGAAGGUACCAAAUGAAUAAGCACCGGCUAACUCCGUGCCAGCAGCCGCGGUAA